AAUGAACGUUGGCGGCGUGGAUUAGGCAUGCAAGUCGAGCGAGGAAAGUGGUAGCAAUACUUCUUAUUCGAGCGGCGUAAGGGGCAGUAAUACCUGGGAACGUACCCUCGGGUCGGGGAUAGCUGCUAGAAAUGGCGAGUAAUACCCGAUGAUCUCGAGAGAGCAAAGGCUUGCCGCCCAAGGAGCGGCCCAGGCGAUAUUAGCUAGUUGGUGAGGUAAAGGCUUACCAAGGCAUAGAUGUCUAGCGGGUGUGAGAGCACGACCCGCGCCACUGGCACUGAGACACUGGCCAGACACCUACGGGUGGCUGCAGUCGAGAAUCUUCGGCAAUGAGCGCAAGCUUGACCGAGCGACGCCGCGUGCGGGAUGAAGGCCUUCGGGUUGUAAACCGCUUUGGUCCGAGAGAAAGGGCAACUUGAUCGAUCGGAGAAACAAGGACGGGCUAAGUUCGUG
rnacentral:rRNA from 1 species